rnacentral:rRNA from 1 species
CAGUCGCCGCGGGAAUACGGAGGGGGCUAGCGUUGUUCGGAAUUACUGGGCGUAAAGCGCACGUAGGCGGCUUGGUAAGUUAGAGGUGAAAGCCCAGGGCUCAACCCUGGAAUUGCCUUUAAGACUGCCGAGCUAGCAGGUGAGAGAGGUGAGUGGAAUUCCGAGUGUAGAGGUGAAAUUCGUAGAUAUUCGGAAGAACACCAGUGGCGAAGGCGGCUCACUGGCUCAUUCUAGACGCUGAGGUGCGAAAGCGUGGGGAGCAAACAGGAUUAGAUACCCGGGUAGUCCCUGUCUCUUAUAC